GAUGAACGCUGGCGGCGUGCCUAAUACAUGCAAGUCGAGCGAACAGACGAGGAGCUUGCUCCUCUGACGUUAGCGGCGGACGGGUGAGUAACACGUGGAUAACCUACCUAUAAGACUGGGAUAACUUCGGGAAACCGGAGCUAAUACCGGAUAAUAUAUUGAACCGCAUGGUUCAAUAGUGAAAGACGGUUUUGCGGUCACUUAUAGAUGGAUCCGCGCCGCAUUAGCUAGUUGGUAAGGUAACGGCUUACCAAGGCAACGAUGCGUAGCCGACCUGAGAGGGUGAUCGGCCACACGAGAACGGGGACACGGUCCAGACUCCUACGGGAGGCAGCAGUAGGGAACCUUCCGCAAUGGGCGAAAGCCUGACGGAGCAACGCCGCGUGAGUGAUGAAGGUCUUCGGAUCGUAAAACUCUGUUAUUAGGGAAGAACAAAUGUGUAAGUAACUAUGCACGUCUUGACGGUACCUAAUCAGAAAGCCACGGCUAACUACGUG
rnacentral:rRNA from 1 species